CAAGAUCUUCCCCAUAGGAAUGAACGGAAACAUUGAGAUGUUUCCAUGGUGAUGGAACUGGUGGACUCUAACUUUGACUUACAAGGUCUAUUCAUGUUUGUAGCAACAUUUCAUGAUGGGUGGAGAACACUAAUACCAAAGGACCAAGUCUCUUUCAACAUGACCAGCUGACUUAACAGGUGCCUCAGUUCCUUUCUACCCCUCACACGAGAUAACUUGCCAAGAUACUGAAGCACAUUUUGAACCUUUCAGGCCUAAUAGCUCUGAUUUGGAUGGAAUCAAUAAAAUGGCAAGGACACAUUCGAAUACAACUGCUGGUUUUAUGGAAAGACUGCGUCUGGAUUUAACAUAUCAGAUGCCUUAAGAUAUGUGAAUCUGUUCUUGUUUUCCACACGUAUCUCCGAAUUUGCCACCUGAGAACACAAGUCCAAUACUUACAGAAGAAACAACUAUUACACCUAAGCAAGGAACUAGCCAACGCUCCACAGAGGAUUGUACCCGGUUAUAGAACUAACUGAAAAUGAAGUUAGCUCGAGGAAGACCGUCCACCUUCUCCACUGAAGAGACCAUUCAAGAGCCCACUCAGUUGCCAGGGCCCAGCAGUGUCACUGGCAGUUAGAGUCCAGCACCCUGCUCAGGGACCAGCAGCACAUGUUGGGAUUUCAUGGCCGGCUAAGAUCACAAGACUCUUCAACAGAAGAAAUGCCAAGAGAGCUAGAAUCUUACAGAUGGUGAUAUUAAUAAUGGAGGAAACUAGAACCAAUGGCAAAGGCAUGAAGCCUGAAAAUAACACAGAGAAUAUAAAUGUCGUGAGAUGAAUCUUCCCCCUCCAAUUCUCCUUAUUUGCCAAAUAUUUUCAUUUCCUUUCCUCAUCAUAGAAAAUAGAACCAUGCAUCACAGUCAAAAAUGCUCCACUGUCAACACUGUAUGAUUCACUCUUUUUGUCAUACAUGUCUUUAAUAAUUGAUGGAUAUUAAAA